rnacentral:misc_RNA from 1 species
ACCGCUGUCCUCCACACACAUUGUUACACUGAGCCUUCCUCUACCCAUACGCUCUGGACACGUACAAACUUCCGACCUCUACGCCGGUAACUCACUGUGACUCCAGUGCCGUGCUUUUUGUGACUGUGCUCCCGAACUUCGGAAAUUGUGUCUGAGGUGCCGUGCGCCAACAACAAGUGACACUAACAACAAUAAGAGUUCGUGACAAAAAUAAAGUUGUUUUUUUGACAAAAUGCGACACCGCGUCCAUAUCUAAUUAAUUGUUCACGGUGGGCCGAUCACUUCGUGGGUGUUUUUCAAGAUGGAGGAUGGCUGGGAAUCCCACGUAUCCCCUUUGAUGAUGGGCGUGGGGAUGGGUGAGAUGCAAAAUAUGGGAGAGAUGCAGACGCAUGGACAGGAUAUGUCGGGAGAUAUGUCGAUGCAGCAUCAUCACGAGAUGAGCGCGCACACCGACAUUAGCCAGGAUUUACACCAGGAUCUUGAGCAAGAAAUACACCACGACUUAAGGAAUCAUCAUGGGGAUAGCAUGGCAGGAUCCAGUGGGGAUUAUUAUUCUCACCAGGAUGGAGUAUACAGCUAUCAGAAUAAAGAGCUGUUAGUUUCUGGUCAGCCGACAACCAACUCAGGUUCUUCCCCAGUCUCAGGCGGUGGAUCACUUAGCCCCGGAGGAUCAGCUGGUAUUCCAGGUGCAUUGUCACCAGGUGGAACCUCUUCUACAGGUCCAACACAAUGCUGCGAAUCGGGGCGACCUCUAGUAACAGAUCCAGUGACAGGUCAGAGCGUAUGCUCCUGCCAGUAUGAUUCUGCUAGGUUAGCGGCGCUACAGUAUAGAAAUGCUAGUGUAGGCGUGUAUGGGACGCCGUAUCCUUCUACCGACCAAAACCCUUAUCCUAGUAUAGGCGUGGAAAGUUCUGCGUUUUAUUCACCUUUGGGUAAUCCAUAUGCGCUGAAGGAUGCGGGAGGGGCAGCCGAUAUGUCGGCGUGGACCAGUGCAGGUCUUCAACCUACAACAGGGUAUUAUCCAUAUGAUCCAACGUUAGCAGCCUAUGGAUACGGAGCAGGGUACGAUUUAGCAGCUAGACGUAAAAAUGCCACAAGGGAAUCGACGGCGACGUUGAAGGCAUGGCUCAAUGAACACAAAAAGAACCCAUAUCCUACGAAAGGAGAAAAAAUUAUGUUAGCUAUUAUCACCAAAAUGACCUUGACGCAAGUAUCGACAUGGUUUGCGAACGCAAGACGAAGACUGAAGAAGGAGAACAAAAUGACGUGGGAACCUAAGAACAAAACGGAUGAUGAUGAUGACGCUUUGGUAUCCGACAGUGAUGACAAAGAUAAAGAUGACGAUGACAAGAGAGACGAAACUGACAUUCAUGGUAGAAUAAAAUCGGAAAGUAACAAAGAUUUAGAUGACGACGACAUGACCGACGAAGAUAGGAAAGACGACAUCCUUGGCACUAACAUGCACCAUAUCUUAGGCAACGGCUUCGGAAUGAAAUCGGAAAUGAAAACCUCUGACUGCGGAGUUCCACUACCUCCGUCGAAGCCGAAAAUUUGGUCUUUGGCGGAUACAGCAGCUUGUAAAACUCCACCUCCACCUCCGUCAUCACAGCAAUGGCUCGGAAGUAAUGGUUUCGCCCUUCCUAGUUCUAGGUACAGCGGAAGUGGCUUCCUACCAAGUCAUUGUCAACAGGGGUUUCCAGACGUCCAAACCGAUACUCCCCCUCAGACUCCUCCUAGUAUGAAACUUCCCAGUGUAGCGGGCAAUCUGAUUCCUGGACAAGGUCCGUGCAUAGGGUCGUCAGGAAAUAGCGGGUAUUCUCAAUCGGGUUUUUUAGGCGGGUUUAGCAGAAUACAAUCACCUCAGAGGCCUCCAGUUCCUCAGUCGAACCAAAUGCCAGCUUCAACGACGGACAACGCUGCCUUUAAGCCUUUUUACAAAAGGUAGCUCCCAAAGCAUGAACGGAGGGUUCGUGUCGCCAGUAUGAGCCGCUCCCUUCUGGGCCCCGUCGAUUCAUCCACCUGGUAUGGUAAUUGACUCGACAAUAGUGGCAAAUAAUGGGCAAAGUGCAAGAGAAACAAAUAUACAGUGUGAGUGAAGAACUCUCGGAUGCAAUCUGUUGUACAUUUGUGUAAAUGCAUUUAUUUAUAUCUGUGAUAAAGAACAAAAGAAUGUCUUGACGACAGCGGAGAUGAAGAAUUUCGGCGACGGAGGAACCGUUCUAGAAGUAGUUUCUGAAUUUUAGAAAUUACUUGCACUUUAAAUUUGUAAAUUGUUGUGUACCAUCACGAAACGGAUCUGGGGAAGGACCAAAAAA